UUCUCUUUCAUUUUUUGGGCUUAUGCCCUAAAUUGAUCUGGCAAAACAGAUGGAUAGCAUGGAUAUUGAAUACAUGCAUCAAGGUGGGCCACACCGUCUUGGGUGAGGCCAGGCCACACCUAAUCCGCUCCUGAUUGGUGCACACUUGUUCGUGAAAAUAUGACCAUUGGAUGUUUUUCAUUUUUACCUGUGCAAUGGAUGUGUAUUGUCCAUCACGCUGCCAGAGAAUCAAAGCUUUUCUCUAAAAUAAAAAAGAGAGAUACUUUGAUAAUCUGGUGGAGCUUGAUGGUUGAUACUCAGGGCAUUAAGAAAUUCUACAAAAUGCAUGUAACCAAAUUAAACCCUUGAAAUUGUGGUCUAGAUGGAUUACUUAUAUAUGAAUUUUCAGACAAUUUUUUAGCUAAUAGUUUAGUGCAUAUUUAAUAAAUAGCUGAAACAAAAAUUAGUGGACAGUUUUAAUUCAACAAACAAAUGUUCAUUAAUCAAGGGUUAUGGUCGUUCACUCAAUUUGAUUUUGAUAUGAUGAACUAGUUGUUGUGGGCCACACAACUUGAUUUAAAGGAAAAAAAGUCCUAUGGACCCAGGAGUAUGGUUUGAUUGGGAUGGCUUAGACCCCACCUGACCUGAUCUCACAAAUAGGUUAUCAAUGGGCUGGAUCAAAUGACCGAACCCGAAACAAAAUAUAGAAGAUAAAUAUACAUGCAUAGACAUAUGAUCAUGUAUGUUUGUUUGCAUUCAUUGAGCUCAAGACCAUAGGGUCGGGCCAAAAGCUUGAUGAAUUUUAAGUGGGUUUGGUUGGGCCACGAAAGACAUGGUCCCAUGACUGAUCAACCAUUCAUGUGGGGCAUCCAUCUCUGAUAGGACUGAUUGUGGGGCCUACUCUUUGAGUAUUAUAUCCAGUUGCACCAGACAUCCUUUUUACUCACACCCUCGCACCUACACCCACACACCACAUGAGCACUCGAACCCAUGAUAUCAAUGUUGAAACCCACAAGGUCUACCACUUAGCCAUGAGUAGGAACCCACACACCAUAUGAUGAAGAUUGUAAUGGUGAAUGAAUAUAGAAUAUCUUUUCUUGGUGUUUAACACUUCUAAUGUUUUCUUCACCUAGAGAGAACUAUUGAAUUGUGUUUGUGUGAGGGUGUCAUAAUUUGGUAUAAGAGAUCGUAGUGACACUACGAAGAUAUGAUGCCGAUACACAAUCAUAAGACAGACGCAAAAUGGAUGCCAAGAUUGAUCAGCUUAAGGAGAGCUUGGAUCGACAAUUAUAGAUGUUAGAACAUAUCAAAGAAUUAGUUCUUAGAAUGAACCACAAAGAUAAUCAUCUUGUUACAACAAUGUCGACUGUUCAAGAGGUCUUAGCUAUUCAAUCCGGUGGGGAACGAUCAAGCACUUUCGAGGGUCAUUCCGAUCCUCAAAAUGGCACAAGCAGUUCUAUUCAUACCAAAUACACCAUAAUUAAAUUUUCUAAAUUUAACAAAGAAUAUCUUGUGGGUUGGAUCGCACGAGCUGAGUAGUUCUUUGAUUUCAACCACACCAUAGAUCAUGAAAGGGUUCCAUCGGCAUGAUUUCACUUGGAACGAGAAGCUUUGCAAUGGUAUAUAUGGAUGAAGAAGAUCAACGAGGUAUUGCAUUGGGAAGAGUUUACUAAUCCAUAUGUAUCAGAUUAGGCCAUAGCGAGUUUACUGAUUUUACUGCAACCCUCAUGAAGCUGACACAAAUAUCUAUAGUACAGGAAUAUCAUAGGUGUUGAAAAUGCUUAUCUAGUUGUUCAACCAUCACCAAUGAAGUUUCUUUAAUUAGUUGCUUCAUUAGUGGAUUGAAGGCCGACAUCCGACAUACCAUUCAAAUGUUUCAUCUAAACACGCCAUAUGUAGCAAUUGGUUUGGCAAGAUUGUAGGAAGACAAGCUGAAUUUUAACUGCCCCAGCCAACAGACGAUGACCACUAUAUCACCUCUUUUCCCAACACCAUCCACAUCUUGUCCUCUGUUAAACGCCGCAACGCCAUCUAGGUCUAGCCCAUCAGCCAUGGCAUGAGCCCAUAUUCGCCACCUGUGUUGUUAGUUCAGAAAAAGGAUGAGUCAUGGUGGUUGUGUAUCAAUUAUCACUCAGUAAAGUCACCAUCAAAGACAAACUUCUAAUAUCAGUCAUUGAUGAGCUACUAGACGAGUUGCACGGGGCUUGUUAUUUUUCAAAGCUAGAUUUACAGUCCAGAUAUCGCCAGAUUUGAGUUCAUCAACAGGACAUUCCUAAGGCAGCUUUUUGGAUGCAUGAGAUUGCUAUGAAUUUUUCUUCAUGCCCUUUGGAUUGUGUAAUACCCCUUAGUCUUAUGAAUAAUGUAUUUCGGCCAUAUCUUCACAAGUUUUUUUUUUUUUUUUUUUUUAAAUUACUGACAUCCCUAUAUACAGUCCAAGUUGGGAAUCUCAUGUCCAUCAUGUUUAAGUUGCAUCAAAAGUACUUCAUAAACAGAAGUUGUAUAUGAAGCUAAGUAUCUAUUUGGCCAAACCAAAUUAGAAUACCUAAGCUAUAUUAUAUCAUAGGAUGGAGUUGCGGUUUAUCCAUAGAAGAUUACAAGCAUGGUCAAAUGGCCCAACCCGACCGCCCUCAAGGGGCUACAUGGGUUCCUCGGCCUCACCAGUAAUUACCAGAAGUUUGUAAAGAGCUACAGCUGCAUUUGUACCCCACUUACAACACUUCUAAAGAAAGAAAAUUAGCUUUGAUACCAAUUUGAUGCAGGACAAUUAGCCACUUGCUCUAAAAGCUCAAACCAUUAGAGCAUGGUGAAUCAAUCCCUUUAUCUCAUAAGCCCUGGCCCCACAUCUCAUGGGUUAGGAUAUCGGCCGAAUCCUCCUCAUUAGCCCCAAAUUACAUGGGUACCACCUAACACGAGCCACCCUCCUCACACAAGUGGGGGCCGCCUCACACGGGCCGCCCACCCCGAGUGUGCCCUUGCAUCCCAUAGGCAACCCCACUCAAGCCCAGUGUGAAAAUGCCCCUGCAUUACCUGUCCUUGCGCUACCUGAUUUCUCACCCAUAUUCAUUGUUGAUUGCGAUGCAUCAUGCUUGGGAAUAGGAACUAUUUUGAUGCAAGAUGAACGACCCAUUGCAUUCACUAGUAAGGCAUUAUUUGGAUGGCAUUUUGCACUAUCUACAUACAAGAAGAGAUGUUUGCAAUAAUAUGUGCAGUAAUAAAAUGGCGGCCUUAUCUACUUGGACGACACUUCAAGAUACUCAUUGAUCAUCGCAUCCUCAAGUAUUUGUUGAAUCACCGAGUCACCACGGCGAUGCAACAACGAUGGUUCUCAAAGCUCCAUUAAUGACCGAGAUCAUGAUCGAAUUUUAUGCAUCACACAUUGUUGGACACUCAGGGUCGUUGAAAUCUUACAAACGUGCUUCAAGUUCAUUUUAUUGGAGGAGAAUGAAGGGUGAUAUUGAACACUUUCUCAUUUCAUUCCACUCAAUCACCCAUACACAACCCUUUUGGUAGCUUGAGCUUUCUUAGAUAAUAUUUUAAAACUCUAUAGCAUGCCUAAGUCAAUUGUUAGUGGUAAGGAUGCUAUUUUUACUUCUAAAUUCUAGUUUAAACUAUUUCAUUUGUGAGGAAUGUAACUAAAAAUGAGCAUGGCAUACCAUCCCCAAACAGAUGGGCAAAUUUAGAUCAUUAACAAGUGUUUAGAGAUGUACCUCUGGUGUUUCUGCAGUGAACGACCCAAGUAGUGGGUGCGUUUAUUCUAAAGGAAAGCUUAUACAUCAAGCUCAAAAUCGUAUGAAAUAAUUGAUAGACAAUCACUGUAUAGAAAGAGAAUUUCAGGUAGGCGACAUGGUAUAGUUGUGCUUAUUACCAUAUCGUCAAACUACUGUUGUUGGGUGAACUUCUAUAAAUCUAUCACUGCGUUACUAUGGCCCUUUUUGCAUCCUCCACAUUGGAUCGUUUGUUUAUCUUCUACGAUUACCGAAGGGUGCCCAGAUUCACCCAUCUUUCAUGUCUCCAGUUUGAAAAAAAAAAAAAGAA